rnacentral:rRNA from 1 species
CAAGUCUGGUGCCAGCAGCCGCGGUAAUUCCAGCUCCAAUAGCGUAUAUUAAAGUUGUUGCAGUUAAAAAGCUCGUAGUUAAUCUUCUGUUAAUUUUUAUAUAUAAUAUCACGAUAUUUAUAUAAUAUUAACAUAAUUCAUAUUACUUUUUAGUAUAUGAAACUUUACUUUGAGAAAAUUAGAGUGCUUAAAGCAGGCUAUUGCCUUGAAUACUCCAGCAUGGAAUAAUAUUAAGGAUUUUUAUUCUUCUUAUUGGUUCUAGAAUAAAAAUGAUGAUUAAUAGGGACAGUUGGGGGCAUUUGUAUUUAACAGUCAGAGGUGAAAUUCUUAGAUUUGUUAAAGACAAACUACUGCGAAAGCAUUUGCCAAGGAUGUUUUCAUUAAUCAAGAACGAAAGUUAGGGGAUCGAAGACGAUCAGAUACCGUCGUAGUCUUAACCAUAAACUAUGCCAACUAGAGAUUGGAGGUUGUUCCUUA